AUUCACUUAGUAUAACGAGUACUUAUGACUUCCAAUCAUAGAGUUUGAAAUUCAAAGUGAAUA
rnacentral:tRNA from 2 species